UACGGGGGGGGUAAGCGUUGUUCGGAAUUACUGGGCGUAAAGGGCUCGUAGGCGGCCAACUAAGUCAGACGUGAAAUCCCUCAGCUUAACUGGGGAACUGCGUCUGAUACUGGAUGGCUUGAGAUUGGGAGAGGGAUGCGGAAUUCCAGGUGUAGCGGUGAAAUGCGUAGAUAUCUGGAGGAACACCGGUGGCGAAGGCGGCAUCCUGGACCAACACUGACGCUGAGGAGCGAAAGCCAGGGGAGCAAACGGG
rnacentral:rRNA from 1 species